rnacentral:rRNA from 1 species
CCUACGGGAGGCAGCAGUGGGGAAUAUUGGGCAAUGGGCGCAAGCCUGACCCAGCAACGCCGCGUGAAGGAAGAAGGCUUUCGGGUUGUAAACUUCUUUUCUCAGGGACGAAACAAGUGACGGUACCUGAGGAAUAAGCCACGGCUAACUACGUGCCAGCAGCCGCGGUAAUACGUAGGUGGCAAGCGUUAUCCGGAUUUACUGGGUGUAAAGGGGGUGUAGGCGGGACUGCAAGUCAGAUGUGAAAACCAUGGGCUCAACCUAUGGCCUGCAUUUGAAACUGUAGUUCUUGAGUACUGGAGAGGCAGACGGAAUUCCUAGUGUAGCGGUGAAAUGCGUAGAUAUUAGGAGGAACACCAGUGGCGAAGGCGGUCUGCUGGACGACAACUGACGCUGAGGCGCGAAAGCGUGGGGAGCAAACAGGAUUAGAUACCCGAGUAGUC